rnacentral:rRNA from 1 species
GCAUAAUCACUAGUUUUUUAAUUGAAAGCUUGAAUGAAGGGUUGGACGAGAAGUUAGCUGUCUUUAUUAAAAAAAUAGAAUUUAACUUUUAAGUGAGAGGGCUUAAAUAUUUUAGGGGGACGAUAAGACCCUAUAAAAUUUAACAAUUGGGGAAUUAAUGGGGAGUAGGAUAAAGUUAAAGGUACUGUUAAAGAAUGUGUUGUUUUGUUGGGGCGACGGGAAUAUAAGUGAAUUAACUGUUCUUUAAUUAAAUUUCAUUAAUGUUUGUAGUUUGUGGUCCUUGUUAGAGAUAAGAAGAGAAAAUUACUUUAGGGAUAACAGCGUAAUUUUUUUUGAGAGUUCCUAUCGACAGAAAAGUUUGCGACCUCGAUGUUGAAUUAA